UUCUUCUCCAUUUUGACUUUUUCUACGAUGGCACGGUGUCAUUUGCUUCUGUUCCUUGCUGCGCUUUCCUCUAUUUUUGGACUCCUUCAUGCCAGUGCUGGCGAUGCCGAUCCGAUUUAUAGUGCUUGCGUUGAUCAAUGUGAAAAGACUGGAUGCGUGGGGGGCGAAUGUUCUCAACAUUGUAAUUUUACUUCCGGGGGGGUUCCAAUUGAUGGUCCAUGGUAUCUACAGGAACCACUUUAUCUGAGAUGGAAACAAUGGGACUGCCUU
rnacentral:misc_RNA from 1 species